rnacentral:rRNA from 1 species
AUAUGGGGGGACCAUCCUCCAAGGCUAAAUACUCCUGACUGACCGAUAGUGAACCAGUACCGUGAGGGAAAGGCGAAAAGAACCCCGGCGAGGGGAGUGAAAAAGAACCUGAAACCGUGUACGUACAAGCAGUGGGAGCACCUUCGGGUGUGACUGCGUACCUUUUGUAUAAUGGGUCAGCGACUUAUAUUCUGUAGCAAGGUUAACCGUAUAGGGGAGCCGCAGGGAAACCGAGUCUUAACUGGGCGUUAAGUUGCAGGGUAUAGACCCGAAACCCGGUGAUCUAGCCA